rnacentral:rRNA from 1 species
GAUGAACGCUAGCGGCAGGCUUAAUACAUGCAAGUCGAACGGUAAGGUCUCUUCGGAGAUACACGAGUGGCGCACGGGUGCGUAACGCGUAUGCAACCUACCUUUAACUGGGAAAUAGCCCCGAGAAAUCGGGAUUAAUGUCCCAUAUUAUUCUCUGAUAGCAUUAUCGGGGAAUGAAAGCUCCGGCGGUUAUUGAUGGGCAUGCGUGACAUUAGCUAGUUGGUGAGGUAACGGCUCACCAAGGCAACGAUGUCUAGGGGUCCUGAGAGGGUUAACCCCCACACUGGUACUGAGACACGGACCAGACUCCUACGGGAGGCAGCAGUAAGGAAUAUUGGGCAAUGGACGCAAGUCUGACCCAGCCAUGCCGCGUGAAGGAUGACUGUCCUAUGGAUUGUAAACUUCUUUUAUGCAGGAAAAAUAGCCUAGUCGAGAACCGGGUUUGAUGGUACUGUAUGAAUAAGCAUCGGCUAACACCGUGCCAGCAGCCGCCGUAAUAC